AGCAGCCGCGGUAAUUCCAGCUCCAAUAGCGUAUAUUAAAGUUGUUGCAGUUAAAAAGCUCGUAGUUGAAUUUCGGGGUCAGCAGGUUGGUCGUGCCACUGGUAUGCACUGGUUUCGCUGAUUCCUCCUUUCUGAAGAACUGUAAUGCCAUUAAUUUGGUGUUGCAGGGAAACAGGGCUUGUUACUUUGAAAAAAUUAGAGUGUUUAAAGCAGGCUAACGCUUGAAUACAUUAACAUGGAAUAAUGAAAAAGGACGUUUGAUCAACCUAUUUUGUUGGUUUCUAGAUUGACGUAAUGAUUAAUAGGGAUAGUUGGGGGCAUUAGUAUUCAAUUGUCAGAGGUGAAAUUCUUGGAUUUAUUGAAGACUAACUACUGCGAAAGCAUUUGCCAAGAAUGUUUUCAUUAAUCAAGAACGAAAGUUAGGGGAUCGAAGACGAUCAGAUACCGUCGUAGUCUUAACCAUAAACUAUGCCGACUAGGGAUCGGAUGAUGUUAAUUUUGAUGACUCAUUCGGCACCUU
rnacentral:rRNA from 1 species